rnacentral:lncRNA from 1 species
GGGAGUAUUUGGAAAUUUAACUGUUUUAUUCAUCUACGGUCGAAAGUAUUCCGCAAGUGUAUACAGAUCAAUUAUAUGGAAUUUGGCUCUUGCUGAUCUGAUGUUUUGUUUGUUUGGAAUAACAUUUGACAUAGCUCGAAUUUUUAACUAUUAUACAUUUAAAAGACAGUGGAUAUGUUCCAUUUGUGUUAGUCUAUUGGUAUUGGGAAUAUUCUAUUCAUCACAUUUGCUAAUUUUGUUGUCAGUGCAUCGUUUUCGACAAGUUUGUAUGUCUUUAGGAUCACAGGUCACACAACAGACAGUAAAGUUCUGGAUCAUUGGCUGCUUUGUAACUGCAAUAAUUGUAACAUCUCCAAAGCCUGCAUUACAGUUCUAUGAAGCAGUAAAAUUUAGAAACAAUAUAACAGGACACACGUGCCCUAUUUCAUCAUCGAAUCCCUCCACUAAUGCCGUCAUUUAUAGCUAUUUUUCACUUGUUUUAUUUGCAUUUUACACUGUUAUCCUAUUUGUUAUAUAUUUCGCCAUUGGCAGAAGAAUAUAUAAGCAGCAUAAAGAUAAACAGAGAAAAAGUGAAAGUGCUACUGAGGAAAAGAUUUUCAGUAAAAUGACAAAAAUUACUUUGACUGUCUCCGUAAUAUUUGCGCUGAGUUAUUUCCCAGUUUUUCUACUGCAGAUUACUUUACAAUCGAUACACGAAGACCAGUUAAGCUCUGUUGAGAUAGCGUGUUUGCAUAUAGUUGAACGGUGUUAUGUUAUCAAUCACGUAGCAAAUCCUUUUAUAUACAGCGUUUUCGAUAACCGUUUUAGAGGCCACUUUAAGAAGCUUUUGUCACUGAAGUUCAGGAAACCCGUAGAGACCAAGACCACUGUCUCCGCUACUUGCGAUACAUCAACAUCUGCAGUUUUAGAAAGAACAUUUUGAACUCGAAAAAAUAAAUCCACAUAAUUCUACUUCUUUAUACCACUUGAAGGAUUACCAAAAACAUUUCAGAAUUUCAGAAUCAAUUCAAAGCAUGGUAUUUGUAUUCUAAAAUAUUAAAUCAAUUUACUUUGCAC